GAAAUCGAAUCGCUCGUUUAGUAAAUAAGCCGAACACGAGCUGAAUUUUUCGACAGCUCGUUUAAUAAACAAACACGAGCUGAGGUCAGUUCGCUCGUGUUCGGCUCGAUAACAACUCGAAUACAUAUAUUUUAUAUUUAUAUAACUUAUUUAAUUUAUAUUUAUAUAUAUAAAUAAAUAAUUAUAUAUAUAAUAUAUAUAUUUUUAUUAUUUAAUUUUUAUCCCAACUUAAAUAUAAAGUUCAACUCAAUUAUAAAAAGAUCUAUUUAUGUGUAAUAUUUCAAACAUUAGAUCUAAUGGGUUCAUAAAUUUAUUUUCUUCAAAUAACCUUUCUAAUAUUUUAACUUAUUAUUCGUGAGUCAUCUCAUAUACAGCUCGUUCAUAAACGAGCCGAAUACGAACUGAAUUUUUCGGCUCAAUACUUUAAUGAGCCAGCUCAAGAUCGACUCGUUUAUAAAACGAGCCGAAUACAAGCCUGCCCCAGCUCGUUCAUGUUAACACCCCUACCUAUA
rnacentral:lncRNA from 1 species